rnacentral:rRNA from 1 species
AGAUUGAACGCUGGCGGCAGGCCUAACACAUGCAAGUCGAGCGGCAGCACGGGUACUUGUACCUGGUGGCGAGCGGCGGACGGGUGAGUAAUGCCUAGGAAUCUGCCUGGUAGUGGGGGAUAACGCUCGGAAACGGACGCUAAUACCGCAUACGUCCUACGGGAGAAAGCGAGGGGACCUUCGGGCCUUGCGCUAUCAGAUGAGCCUAGGUCGGAUUAGCUAGUUGGUGAGGUAAUGGCUCACCAAGGCGACGAUCCGUAACUGGUCUGAGACGGAUGAUCAGUCACACUGGAACUGAGACACGGUCCAGACUCCUACGGGAGCAGCAGGUGGGAAUAGUUGGACAAGUGGGACGAAAGCCUAGAUCCAGCCAGUGCCGCGUGUGUGAAGUAGUC